CGCCAUGUAAAGCGGCUCCUCGAGACCCCCUUCCCACUUCGCUCCGCAAACGUGUCUCUUAUGACUCAGCCCAGCCCGCUCUUUGCCAAGCGGCUGACGCUCGCGGCGGAGGCGCCGGGGCCGCCGCUCGGGGGCGAGGGCUCGUGCUCCUCCCGCUUUACGGCUGCUGAAAACCCGGCCCGCGCCCGGCAGCCGUACCGCAGACGAGCUCGCGCCCGCGCCGCUCAGGAGUUGACAGUUGACAGUUGCCUGGACAACUAAAUGCCUGAUUUCCUUCUGUUGUCUUCUUCUCUCACUUGACUACUGCUGAAGAGUUGUUGUUGAAGUACAGAGCAGACCAUUUACUCUUCUUCCCCAAGUUCUCACAAUUAAUGAAUUUGAAUCUGACUGGAUCUCCUAAUAAGAAGUUUGUUCUUCUUUCCAUUGCUUCACUGUGUAGAUACUUCACUUCUAUUUGUUCAGAAACUCCUUGAAGCCCAGAAAUGUGAUUAAAUGAUAAUGCAACAAAUAAGGGCUGUAGAAACUCAAAGAAAGAUUGUCAAUAUGGCCAAUAGCAGUUUUUAAUGCUUUCAUGAAAUUAAGUUGAGCAUUUAAACAUUUAAGUAACAAAAACUAAACAAGAAUGCCAGUUAAUGCUGGCUGUGUGAUCCUUUUAGUAUCAUAUGAGAAGGCAUCUAUAAGGGUGAAUUGAUUAUUUAUUUGACGAACUUCUUUAGAGGUCAUUUUUAGAAUUUGAUUUGCUUUUUACUAACAAAAGAUGAAUGAUUCUUAUGUAAAUGCUAAAAUUUUAAACAGUGUUUUAAUGGACUGAGGCUAACAUUUUGUUCUGGAGGAAGUGGGCUCUACAAUUGGAAUGUAAUUAAUAGAAAACUAUGAUUUCAUUUAUAGAUCAUUACUUUUGUACAUAAGCAUUCAUUCAGUGGGUACUUGAACAUAUCUACAGAAGAUUAAAUUGGGAGGUCAGAUUCACUUGCACAUUUGCUCUGUUUGGUCUUUAAAGCAUUUGAAAAAUAUUUGAAUUUGUGGCUCACAUUUAAAAAUCAAGAGGUUUUGUAUAUAAACCUGACUCUCUGGAGUUUUUUAAUAUAAGGAACCACCUGAUUUAACCUAGUCUGCCUUCCCUCAAUGGAACAAUUGGCUAGAGCAGCAACUGUCCAUUUUAAGAGUAGGCACUUCCCAGAUCAUUAUUUCCUACUCAUGUAUAUUGUGUUGUCUUACUGGCUCUCAUAGUUAUUUGGGACUAUGAUUCUUGAUGUCCUGUGUGUAUGAAACUCUGUGAGAUAUAUGAUGGAAACUUACAACAAUAAAAGUAGAAAAGAUAAAUAUGAUGUAAGGAAGUAAAAAAGAUAAUGUAAGUGAGAAAGGCUGAAACUUAUAUUCAGUAACACUGUUUUAACCAUCAUGGAAUACAAGAUUCCCAAAUAGUUAUGAUAAGCAGCCUUUUUCUUUUCCAUAUAAAUAUAGGAACCAUAUAAAUAUAGGAAACUGAUCAACAGUUGCACACGGCUUUACUUCUGCAUAAACUGUGCAAAAUCUGAACCUGAUGACUUAGAAAUUUUGGCGAGAGGACAAUAACAUGAGGAAUGGGAAAACAAAUGGUAUCAUUUAUUCCAAAAUACUGUAAAUGCUGUUUAUUGACUGAUAGGCUAGAGUUUUCCUUUCUCCCCCCACCUUUUUUUUUUCACUCAACUAUCUAUCAGUGAUCAGUUAUUACCAUUGAAACCUUUCUUUGCUUAUAGUGGAUAUCAAAUAUUUGCCCUUAUAACACCUCUUCUCUCAUUUUCUGAGAAAGCUCUCUAAAACUCACACACAUACGGACACCUUACUUUAUCCACAAGGCCUUUCACAGGAGCUGCUACCUUUUUAUGACCACUGUCAAAAAUUCAUUAAAUCAGUGAAUCAAGGUGGGCCAGUUAGACUUUUUUUCCAGUAUUUUUUGAACAGAUGCAGGUAUAGAGGUGAGUGUUGUAGAAGAUUCAUUUUCUCUCUUGUCCUGAAGCUUAGAGGAUGGAAAUCGGGAAGCUGUUAGGGGCCAUUUCUCUGACAAGGUACAAAGUCAAUCUUCAGUAGGUAGCUACGAAGCCGACCCAUAGGAGAAAAAUAGCAACAUGGUAAAAAUACCUGUAUCUGUGAUCUUGGGAAGCCAGCCCUAUCAUUCCUUUUCCAUAGUUUGUUCACAUCAACCCAAACAAUUCUCUUUUGGUCUAAGUUAGACGGAGCAUAUGUCAUUUGCAACAAAGAUAGUUCUGAUUUAUAUAUCACUAUAUUUUUUCUAUUUUAAUAAUUUAAUCCAGUGAUUAUUUUUAAAUCCCAUAAUUUCAAAGAAUAUGCUAAGUAUUUUGGAAUUCUGACAAGAGUAUUUUACAUGCUUUGUUUUCAUAGAACUUGAAGUCUAGAAUGGGAGAUUAGGUAAAUCCACAAAGUUAGAAUAACAAUGUUUUUUGAGCUAUAGAAGAAAAAAUGUAAUUAAAAGAGGAAGCAGUUAUUAUGUUGAGGGAAUUGGGAUAGUUUUUCUGGAAGAGCUGGCAUUUGAAUGGAUUAGAUUUCAGUGGGUAGAUAUGGGGAAGGCAUUCCAUGCCUAGAGAAAAUAAAUAAAUAAAUGGAUUAAGUUUGGAAGCCUGGAGUACUUUUUAACAAUAGUAAGUGGUACAGUUUAGCUGUUGUCUGUUAAGAUGUCUAGUUUGGAAUGGGAAGUCAUGGCUAUAUUGUAGAGGUCUGGAAUAUGAAGGUCAAUUAACUGUAUUUGAUUUGGUGAACAUGAGGGGAGAGUAUUAAAUAUUUUUGAAUAUAAAUAUGCUAUGUUCACAACUGCAUUUCUGGGUUACCUUUGUAGUAGUGAAUAACCUGGAAAUAUAUAUAUAUAGAGAGAGAGAAUGAGUGCAUGAGCAUUAACAUAUAGAAAAUUAGUUUGGAAUAUACUACAAUUAUCAAGAUUAGGCAUGAUCACAACCUGAAAUAAAUCCAUAAGAGUAGAAUGGAAAAUAUAUAGUUGUCAGAUAGAAAUGAUGUGUUUGGAAAAGAAAUCAGAGAUAGCUCAGUAGUUUCCUACAUAGUUGAUGAGUUUGAUGGUAAUACCAAUAGCCAGUGAAGAUUAGAAACCUUAUUAUCCUCUAGCUUUUAGCACACAAGCCACAUACCACUUUUUUUUUUUUUAACUUUAAAACUAAGCUUGAUCCUAAUGCAGUUUUUCUUCAUAUUCACCAGUAUAAUCAAAAGACCACAUACUUUGGAGUUAGCUAGGUCUGGUUCUAAAUUUAGUCUCACUUAUAUAGCUGUGAGAUUUAGAUAAGAUACUUAACCUUCAGAUUUUUUUUUUACCUCUAUUAUUAAUAAUAGGAUUAACCUAUGGUACACAUGAGAAUUAGGUGAGAUAAUAUACAUUAAUAGUAUAUUAAUAUAUAUUGAUCAACUAGAAGAGUACCUGGGAUAUAGCAAAGAUUGAGUAAAUGAUUCUUAGUUGUAGGUGUCAAUGUGCUGCCUAAAUCUACAAACUCAUAAGUCAGUCCUUAAAUAAGGAUUCAGUAUGUGAAAAUCCUUUUUUUUUUUUCUUUUCUUUUCUUUUCUUUUCUUUUAUUUCUUUGUUUUUCUUUUUCUUUUGUUCCACCCUUGCAGCAUAUGGAAGUUCCCAGGCCAGGGAUCAAAUCUGAGCCACAGCAGAGAUCCAAGCCACAGCUGUUGCAGAGCCAGAUCCUCAACCAUCUGUGCUACAGUGAGAACUCCCUGAAAAUCCUCUUUCUACCCUAAGCAUGGAGACUGUUCCUAGCUUCAUAUAUAGUUCUGGGAUAAAUUCUUAGUCUCUUUCUUUGCAAUCUCAUGGCAUCACCCAAACUUUUGUCAUAUUUGCUUUGUCUGCUGACUUGGUUUCCACCUUUAUUUCUUGAUUCACAGCUAUUACUGGAUCUAAACUCUAUUCUGAACCAGUCUACUAAGCAAUUGGCUCUCAUAUUCUGCUUAGUUCCUGCCAUUCACACCAAUAAACACUCCACUUCACACUUUGAGGCUGCUCCUCAUACAUCUUCAAACUAGAUAAAUGACAUAAAAUCUCUCCACAGCCACCUACUUGACUUUGGUCACCACAUGAUGUAAUAAACACAUUACAUCAUUGCCUACCUGUGAGAUUUCAGCCUUUCCUCCUCCUAGCCCAUUAUCAACUUUGUUAGUGACAUUGAUGCAGAUAAAGUCUGCACUUUGUUGCCACAUUAUAUUUGUCAUCUGGAUGUUGGCCAGCCAUUUCUUUACCCUAUUACUGGUUACUGCCUAAAUCUCAUCUUAUCAUGACCUAAGAAAUUUUCAGGUCAUCGUCUCCCUUAAAUUCUAUAUUAUUAAUCUCAAGUUUAUGGUCAAUUCCUUUUUGACUAGAGUACCAAAGCAAUUUAAUUAGGAAAGAAGAGUUUUUCAACAGUUAGUACUGAACAGCUUGAUAUCCACAUGCAGAGAAUGAAACUGGAUAGCGCUAACUCACACCAUACAAAAAAUUAAUUUAAAAUGGGUCAGAAUUCUAAAUGUAAGAGCUAAAACUAUAAAACUCUUAGAAAAAAAAAAUUAGGUAAACUUCAUGCUGGGGCUCUGCAGUGGGAUUUGUUUGUUUUUUGUUUUUGUUUUUGGUAAAUAAAGACACGACAACAAAAUCACAAACAACAAAAGAAAGAUAGAUUAGAUACAUCAAAAUUUAAAACAUUUAUGCUACAAAUUAGACAAUCAAAAAAGUGAAAAAAUGGUGCAUAUGAUGGAAUAAAAUGUUUGCAAAUCAUAUAUCUGAUAAGGGACUUGUGUCUAGAAGGACUUUUAAAUGUCAUUCUAAAAAGACAAGUAGCCCAAUUAAAAUGGGCAAAGAUUCUGAACAGACAUUUCUUUAAAGAAGAUGUGCAAAUAGACAAUAAGCACAUGAAAAGAUGCUUGACAUCAUUACACACUGGGAAAGUGCAAAUCACAACCACAAUAACAUGCCACACUAUAGCCAGUAGUAUGAUUCAGAUAAUGGUAUGUGUUAUUGAAGAUGUAGAGAAAUUGGAACCAUCAUACAUUGACAAGGGAAAUGUAAAUUGAUACAACUAUUUUGGAAAACAGUUUGGCAGUUCCUUAAAUUGUUAUACAUAGGCUUUCUAUAUGACAUAGAAAUUCUGCUUUUAGCUGUAUAUCCAGGAGAAAUGAGAACAUAUGUCUGUCCAACAUGAAGACAUGUAUAUGAAUGUUCAUUUCAGCAUUUUUCACAUUAGCCUAAAAGUGGUAACAACACAAUUGUUCAUCAACUGAUUAAUGGAUAAAUAAAAUGUGGUAUACCUAUACAGUGGAAUAUUAUUUGACAGUAAAAGAAUGAAGCAUUGAUACAUUCUACCACAUUGAAAACGUAUGGUAAGUUAGAGAAGCCGACAGACCACAUAAUGUGUGAUUUCAUUUACAUAAAAGGUCCAAAAAUCUGUAGAGACAAAAUUAUUGGUUUCCUAGGGGUGGGACAGCAGGGAAUGGGAGUGACUGAUUAUGUGUAUUAGGUUCCUUUUGGAAUUAUAAAAGCGUUCUAAAAUUGUUGUGAUUAUUACACAACUUUGUGAAUAUGCUAAAAAACAUUGAGCCAUACAUUUGGGUGACUUUUAUUGUAUGAGUUAUAUCUUCACAAUGAUGUUUUUAAAAAAGUAAGAACCUCUGUUUUCAAGUUUAGAACAAAGGGACAGCCUAUAAUUUCCAAAAUAUAUGGAGUAUAUUUGGAGGGAAGGGACUAAAUAAGGAGAAGGAAAUGUCAACUCCUGUCUGUCAAGUGGGAAGGGGCUUUUUAUUCAGAGAACAUAUUUUUGAGAACCUUCGUUUGGGUAUUUUAUUGAAUGAAGUGGGAGUUGGUGGGUUUUUAUUUUAUAGUGAGGAAAAUAAGCUGUUCAUUUAAUCUCUUCAUACUUUAGACUCACACUUAUAAAAUAUUUAGUACCACCUCUAAUCUUAAUUAAAAUUUGUAAUGGAGUGGAGUUUGCAUCAUGAAAGGUGAGGGAGAGAUAUGUACUCUUAAAGUAGUUUAUAGGUAUAUAAAGUAGUCCUUAUAUUUUCCAGAGCUAUUGCCAGAAAGAAUGAGUAAACCAUUUUCUGGGAGCACAUAGCCAUAAGAAAUGAAUCAACCAUAUAAGAACAUUGAGACACUCACUAUCUUAUAAAAAAUUACUUGUACAAAUGGGAUAUUGCUUAAAUGGAAGAAUUACUUAAUCAAUUUUGGAUGAUCAGUAUACUCUUAGAAAGUACAUUAUGAACCUAAGAUCAGCAUAACCUGUGUUAAUAUAGCUGCUGUUCUUUUUUCAACCCUGUAUCACUUUUCACAUUGUAUCAAUUACUAAAUCUUGUAACUGCAGGCUAUGAUUAUACAGCCAGCUGUCCCAUGCUCUAUAGUAUCUUUAGGCUAUCUAGAACAGCAACAGUGUGAGUAAAAUUUGUAAAUCUUAGAAGCUUCAGGUAGUCAAAGACCCUCUGGGACUCACACUGUUCAUUAACAUAGUCUUUUAAAGCCCAAAUACACAUUUUACACUCUUCUCGUUAAAGUUUCAUAUUGUAGUAUGUUUUAAAUAAUUUGUCAUUAUUAUCAUUGCCAAGUGUUGGAUAUUGAGACAAUUGCCUUUCAAUGUUGACUCAUUUAUUCCUGUCCAAAGUCUACUACUACAUGCUUAAGUAAAUUAAAGGCAGUUUAAUAUAUAGCUGGUAUCCUUAAGAAUUAGUCUCAGUUGGUAAUUUAACAUAGAUGUCCCUUCUAAGGAAUUCUUUGUGUCCUAAACAAUCUUCUGACGUAUUGGCAUGUUUUUUCUUCCAGCCUUGAUGUUGCUUCAAAUUGUCCUAUAGUCUUGUGUUGUAAUAUUCCAUGAUUAUUUCUCAAAGGAAAUGUGCAUAUGACUCAUUCUCUUCUAGCACAUAGUCCCCAAACUAUUAAUCAUUAUACUUUAUAUUAAGUUUAUAAAAGCAAUUUUAUCAAAAGAAAUGAAUCCUUUUUCAGAUGCAUGCUUGAUUUCCUGUGUUAAUAAAGAUCAUUUCAUUGUCU
rnacentral:lncRNA from 9 species